GUGCGUGUCAGGGGUGCAGUGUGUGUGUGUGAGGGUGCUGUGAGUGUCAAGGGUGCAGUGUGUGUGCUGUGAGUGUCAGGGGUGCAGUGUGUGUGUGAGGGUGCUGUGAGUGUCAGGGGUGCAGUGUGUGUGUGAGGGUGCUGUGAGUGUCAGGGGUGCAGUGUGUGUGUGAGGGUGCUGUGAGUGUCAGGGGUGCAGUGUGUGUGUGUGAGUGUCAG